rnacentral:misc_RNA from 1 species
UUGCGUUAGUUGCGUAUUCGUCAUGCGCGCAUAGGCGCAUAGUGCGUAGGCGCGUAGCGUCUGAGUAGUCUGAGCGGUCUGAGGCAGCGAGCAGCUGCAGAACCGUCACUACCUGGCAGGUUGGUGAAAUUGUACUGCGUGUAAUGGUUGGUUGCAUUAGUGUUGUCAUUUCGCUGUUAUUAGCGUUGCAAUGACUUUGCCUGAGAGCACUGCCCCGAGUUAAAGAAAAAGCUGACGUUCUUGUUCUGGGAGUGUUGGGUCGAUUAGAUAGGACUGCUUAGCGACACACCGAGAAGAUGGCCAAUAGAAGCUCGGAUCGUGAGAAGAAGGCUUUGCAAGACGAAAUCUCUUAUCUCUCACGUUUGAUCGAUCGCCAUCAACGUAUGUCAAAACCACGUGGAGGUGCACAAAUGAGAGCUUCCAACCGCUACACAAAAGUCAACGCACAUGACUCUCAGGCCCGGAGCAUCGUGAGCUCGCCAAGAAACUUUGCCAGUGUGCAUGGUGCUGGUGCACCCAGUACUACCUGUGUUGGAAACGUUGGCAAUCUGUGUUCUCGCACGGCUUACGCGCCUACUGUACAGAGGACCCCACCGCAAACUAGCGCGACUUAUAAAGCUCCCACUGUGCACAGGACCCUACCGCAAACUCGCGUGACAUAUAAUGCACCCACUGUACACAGGACCUCACCGCAAACUACGAGGAGGCGAUCUUUGUCAACAGUUGUGCACAAGAGUAGAUACACAUUGAAGAAACUUCACCCUGGAACCACCUCUACUCAGAAGCCAGUGCAGAAGUCCACAGGAGUGUUUCCGAAAACAGCUCAAGGUACCUCAUUAGCUAUUGGCACCAACACGCCCCCAGCACAUUAUGGGUCUGUGCGGCAAGCAUCAGCUGCUGGGAAAUAUGUGUAUUGUAGGAAGAAUACAACGAAUGGAAGCGGACUGCUUGAUACACGUACUGUGACACUACCAACUGGCUCCACUGGGAGAACACCGCGACAGCUUUCGUCAACUUAUAAACUUGUUCGAAACAAAUCAAAAGUUGCUACACCACUCAAGAGUCCAAGUUCAAACCUCACUUGUAUUGGUGCCAAACGCAUUGUGAAAAAGUACAAGGUGAACAAUGUAAAUAGGUCAAGAACUUCUCAGCAGAGGCCACUUCGAUCUCAGUAUGGAAACUGUGCGGCUGCAUCUAAAGGGAAGCAGUCUUGGCCUCCGUCAUACUCAACCACCCAUUACUUCCAUGGUCAGAGAAGGAAAAUCUCUGGCAAGCCUACUUCCAGUGCAGGUUCAUCCCAAGCACACUACAUCAAGAUUGGGAAUAUUACAUACAAAGCUUCAAGAAACAAACUUUCUAGAACAUUUAAGAGAUCCCUCUCAUGUAGCCCUGUUUCUCGCAAAGCAUUCCCUCGUCAUGAGCGAGUACUAGCAGUGCGAGGAUCUGUCUACAUGAUGGAUGCAGCUGGGAAAGUGCUUCGGCGCAUCUCACAGCCGCUGUGCAAUUCAGAGCAGACAAAUGGCCGAACUCGAAUCGACGUAGGUGGAAAGACCUAUAUUGAACGGAAACCAGGAGUGCUUUCACAGACGCCAUCUGCGGAGACAAGGACAUACCUCAAUCGUACUGUUAACCGCAGUAUUCACAGGGUACGCAAUGUUGACAGCAGCCAGAAGCUGAAGCAGAAAUCGUAUUGUAUGUUCUUCAAUCGGUUUGGCCGCUGCAAUAAGGGUGACAAAUGUGCUUACAUUCAUGACCCCGAAAAAGUGGCUGUUUGCACAAGAUUUCUGCGUGGAACCUGCAGAGUGUCUGACUGCCCAUUUUCCCACAAGAUUGCACCAGAGAAGAUGCCCGUUUGUUCCUUCUUUUUGAAAGGGCGAUGUACCAAUGACCCUUGUCCGUAUCGACAUGUCAAAGUCAGCUCAAAGGCAGCAGUGUGUAAAGACUUUGCUGUACGUGGAUACUGUGCUGAUGGAAUCAAGUGCAAAAAGCAGCACAUCCUUAUUUGUCCCGAGUAUGCUACCAACAAAAAGUGCCCAAGGGGAAACAAAUGCUACUUGUCACACCGUGUUCGGGGUACAAAGCGCAAGCACGAGGAAAACUCUUCUGAAGGUGCUACCGAGGACUCUAGCAUGCCUGCUGUGCCAUUAAAGGCACCAAAAGAAAGCGCAAGCUGUGCUGGUCCCAGUACCACUAAGGAAGAUGAGCAGGGAAGUCGGCAGAUGUCAAAGGCUCCUCUAUUCAUACCACUCGAAUCUAGUCCACGUUUGACCACACCUUCAGCUGGUAUUCGGAAGCAAUGAGGAACAUAGCGAUUGUUGCAGGUAUGAGUGCAAGUGGGAAUGUGCAGUAGGCAUUUAUAUUUAUUCCUGACAGAGAUACUGUGGACUGCUACAGUAAAAGCUAGUUGAUUCAGAUUUCACAGGACUGGAAAAAAAUAUCUGAAUGAUUAAAUUAUUGAUGACGUCAAGAAAAUAA